AGAGUUUGAUCCUGGCUCAGGAUGAACGCUGGCGGCGUGCCUAACACAUGCAAGUUGAGCGUGGCAGUGGAUUUAUUCACUGUCUAGCAGCGGACGGCUGAGUAAUGCACAGGAACGUACCUCAAAGCGGGGGAUAGCCCAUCGAAAGAUGGGGUAAUACCGCAUGUGCUCGCAAGAGUAAAGCCGCAAGGCACUUUGAGAAUGGCCUGUGUCCUAUCAGGUUGUUGGUGGGGUAAUGGCCUACCAAGCCUAUGACGGGUAACUGGUCUGAGAGGAUGAUCAGUCAGAUCGGGACUGAGACACGGCCCGAACUCCUACGGGAGGCAGCAGUUGGGAAUUUUGCGCAAUGGACGAAAGUCUGACGCAGCGACGCCGCGUGGAGGAUGAAGGCUCUAGGGUCGUAAACUCCUUUUGCUAGGGAGUAAUUUUUGAAAGUACCUAGCGAAUAAGCACCGGCUAACUCCGUGCCAGCAGCCGCGGUAAUACGGAGGGUGCAAACGUUAUCCGGAAUCACUGGGCGUAAAGAGCAUGUAGGUGGUUUGGUAAGUGGACGAUUAAAGACCGAUGCUUAACAUCGGGACUGUUGUCUAUACUGCCUAACUUGAGGAUGGUAGGGGUACGUGGAACUUUAGGUGUAGGAGUGAAAUCCGUAGAUAUCUAAAGGAACACCAAUGGCGAAGGCAGCGUACUGGACCAUAUCUGACACUGAGAUGCGAAAGCGUGGGGAGCGAACGGGAUUAGAUACCCCAGUAGUCC
rnacentral:rRNA from 1 species